GGCGCAGCAUGGUCGAAACUUCUGCAAUGCGCGAAAGCGCGACAGAGCCAUCCCGAGUGCCAUCCGCUGAGGGUGGCUUUUCCCCAGUGCAAAAAGCUGGGGGAAUAAGGGGGGGGCAAGUCGGGUGUCAGCCGCCGCGGUAAUACCCGCUCCCCGAGUGGUGGGGACGAUUAUUGGGCUUAAAGCGCCCGUAGCCGUCCCUGUGUGUUUCGUGUUAAAUCCGACGGCCUAACCGUCGGUGUGCAUGAAAUACUGCAGGGAUAGGAGGCGGGAGAGGUCGCCGGUACUCCUAGGGUAGGGGCAAAAUCCUCUGAUCCUGGGAAGACCACCAGUGGCGAAGGCGGGCGGCCAAAACGCGCUCGACGGUGAGGGGCGAAAGCUGGGGGAGCGAUCCGGAUUAGAUACCCCCGUAGUCC
rnacentral:rRNA from 1 species